rnacentral:rRNA from 1 species
CCUACGGGAGGCAGCAGUGAGGAAUAUUGGUCAAUGGGCGCUAGCCUGAACCAGCCAAGCAGCGUGAAGGAUGACUGCCCUAUGGUUUGUAAACUUCUUUUAUAUGAGAAUAAAGUCCGGUAUGUAUACCGAUUUGCAUGUACCUUAUGAAUAAGGAUCGGCUAACUCCGUGCCAGCAGCCGCGGUAAUACGGAGGAUCCGAGCGUUAUCCGGAUUUAUUGGGUUUAAAGGGAGCGUAGGCGGGUUGUUAAGUCAGUUGUGAAAGUUUGCGGCUUAACCGUAGCAUUGCAGUUGAUACUGGCAGCCUUGAGUACGGUAGAGGUAGGCGGAAUUCGUGGUGUAGCGGUGAAAUGCGUAGAUAUCACGAAGAACUCCGAUUGCGAAGGCAGCCUGCUGGACUGUAACUGACGCUGAUGCACGAAAGUGUGGGUAUCAAACAGGAUUAGAUACCCUUGUAGUC